rnacentral:lncRNA from 1 species
UUUUCACUGUACAUUGUCACAAUCACAAUCCAUUAUCAUUCGCAGACAAGCAAACACAUGUUCAACUUUACAAGCAAAAUACGUAGCCAUAGGCAACAUACUGCAUACAAUCUGACAGUUCAUCUGUCAUUUUCGAUAAAUUGUUCCUGUCAUUCUCGACACUUGGAUUGGAGUACAAAAAGAACACUACACCAAAAAAGGCAUAAGGGACAUGCUCGUGCUGACUUUUUGGUAAAAACAUUACCAAAUUCAUCCUUUCAAAACAAAAGACUAUACAGAAUUUAUUAAACUACAUUUCAUCAGUGUCUAGUUCAUUCGUCAUCAACAGCUGAACGUUCUCCCCCACUCUCUUCAUUUGACUCCAUUUCAUCAGUGUCUAGUUCAUUCGUCAUCAACAACUGAACCUUCUCCCCCGCUCUCUUCAUUUGACUCAUCCGACGAGAUGACAAUUAUCUCAUUCUAUGGGAUGUACACCAACUAGUCGUCAUCGUUGGAUUCAACUUCGUACCGAACCGUGACCUCCAACACCACAUCGAGCACACCGUUCAGAGACUGCACCCCUUCAGUUGCAACUUCAUCCAAGUUGGGAAAAGUUACAGCGAAAAUGACUCUCCUAUCAAUACAAGGGUUAACUUUCUCAUCCUUUGAAAAAAUGUAGAUUGAAAAUAACGGGGAUGAACCAAAAAUUAGCAAAGGCUCGAUCAACUUAAACGUUUCGUUACUUCCCGUGGGCGAACUUAUUAUGUUGACACAAUGCAAUUGAUGAAACGGUUUGUGUAUGUGAGAACUUGAAAGUCUCAC